rnacentral:rRNA from 1 species
AUACGGAGGAUCCGAGCGUUAUCCGGAUUUAUUGGGUUUAAAGGGUGCGCAGGCGGGAGAUUAAGUCGGCGGUGAAAUUUUGCAGCUCAACUGUAAAAGUGCCUUCGAUACUGGUUUCCUUGAGUGUGGGUGAAGUAGGCGGAAUUUGUGGUGUAGCGGUGAAAUGCUUAGAUAUCACGAGGAACUCCGAUUGCGCAGGCAGCUUACUAAACCACUACUGACGCUCAGGCACGAAGGCGUGGGGAUCAAACAGGAUUAGAUACCCUGGUAGUCCACGCAGUAAACGAUGAUUACUGGCUGUUUGCGAUACAAUGUAAGCGGCUGAGCGAAAGCGUUAAGUAAUCCACCUGGGGAGUACGUUCGCAAGAAUGAAACUCAAAGGAAUUGACGGGG